AUUUUUUCAUCUUGAAACAACUGGACUAGGUUUGUGUAAAAUCUUUUAAAUUUAUUGUGUAAGAUAAGAUUUAAAUUGAGAGACAUUUUCAAGAAGUUUGCCAUUUGUUUUGUUUUUUCAUAUCAGCUAGAACAUCAGAAAUUAUCCAGAUAACUUGUGUUUGUGGAGAAAAUACCUUCAAUAUUUACAUGAAGCCAACUUGCAGAAUCAGUAUUCCAGCAUCAGAUGCGACAGGACUUGCAUAUGUUGGAGGUGUCCUCAAGCAUAAAGGUUAAAGUGUAGAAUCAACAACAGUAUAUUGCGGACUUCACAAUUUCAUCAAAUUCUGUCAUGCUUUCCAAAUGCCAUUCUGAUAGGACACAAUUGCAACAGUCAAAAUUUUUAACAUUCCAUUUCUAUUGCACCGCUUAAACAGACAUAACAUUUUAAAGAACUUUUAGGAUGCAGUUGAAGGUUGCAUUGAUACAUUGAAGCUUGCAAGAAAUAUCAUCACAAAAGCAAAAGUUGGAAACUACAAGCAAAAUAAUAAUGUCCAGAAACUAAUAGGAGAGACCUAUGACGCCCAUGAUAUUAUGCCAUUGAGGAAAUACUAUCAGUUUAGAAAUUGUUCCCUUUGAAGUUAGAAUCAGUGUAAGAAUGAGGACAUAUAUGAAUUCUUUUAUUACAGAUGUAAGGAAUCUUUGGACCAGCUUGUUACAGAGAAAGUUUUUUCCACUACAACACAAAAGAAACUUGUGGGACUUUCUUUAACAUUGCCUAAACUGAAAGUUAUUCACUUGCGAGAUCCUAACAAUGGUAAUCAUAACGUGUUUAGUGAGAACUUGCAAGAUUCUAAGAAACCAAGAGUGUGAAGGUCAAAAUCUGUGAUUGGAAAUUUGUCAUAUCUUUAGACUGUUGUAUUUUGAAUUUUUUGUUUACAAAAUUAAGAAUGUGUGUUUAUAUAUGCAUAAUGUAUAUCAAUGUCUCAAAGGCUAUAAUGAGCCAUAUACAUGUACACAAACAUUUUCUUCUGUUAGGUGAAGCAAAGUACUACAAAAACCUAGAUUUAAUUUAAAAUGAUGACUUUAUUUUAAUUCUCACCUGUCCAUGGAUUUAAAAUGUUGAUAAUAAUAAUUUUGUUAAGAAAUGCAUAUUGCUUUAUGUAUCAUAUUAUUUUGUGUUCAUUUUACAAGGGGUAUCUGCUUGUUUUAAUUAAGUAUAAAAAAAUUAUGCUUUCGUCAGAGAAAUAUGCAUUUAAGGUUGAUCGAUCCUCAUGUGAUGUCAUAGGUUUUUACAAAAUCUUUAUUUUAUUAAAUUUUGCGCAUGAUUGAAAUAUAUCUUUCAGAGGAAUUGUAUUCACUGAAUAAAAUAAAAAAAAUUGGUAAACUUUUGAUACUGAAAAAGUUUUUAUUUUCCAUAGAUAAUCAAUUAUUUAUAAUUUUAAAGAUUUUGUCAAGGGCAAUAACUCCUAUGCUGGAAUUUCCUCAACUGCAUGUCUAUGACACAAUGAUUUCACUAAUAUCCACAAUUAAUUUUUAUAUAUCUAUGAAUUAUCAGAUUUCUUAAACUGUUGACAUUUGAAAUUUGUCAUUUCAACAAGUUUUUAUUACUUUUCAUCAUUCUGUUUAACGAAAAUGUGCGAUUUUUUUAUGCUUCUGUUUUUGUAUGUCUGACAUCUUUAAAAGGGUGGCAGCAUGCACAUUUUCUUUGGUUAUUGGUUAGAUUAAACUAUAUUGAGUGGAAAUUACAGUUUUUCCACUUUUAACCAUUAUUAUAGAUAAGUCACAUGAGGAUCGACCCACCUUAAGUGUCAUUUAACGUUAAAUAUUUGCAAUGAUUCCCGUCGUCCAUUUCAAGAGGGUGCCUUUACAUUAUCAGCCCUGGGAUAAAAAUAAAUGUGAUAUGAUUUUUUUUUUUCAUUUUUUCUAUUUACUGUUAAAGAGAAUUUCAGUUUUUUAAAAUUUAGUAUCAAUAUAAGUGUUUGUCGGAGCAAUGUCCAUAACAAUGACAUGAUGUCCAAUUUUCUCAAUAAGUCUUCCACACUUUUUCUGAGAAUGAGGCAUAUAUUAUGUAAUUUUUUUCUUUUAGUGCUUUCCAUUCAUGAAAACAAAUGCAUGUAUACGUUAAGGUAAAUAACUAGAACAAUUAUCUGUAAUAUAUUAACUAUUGUACUAUUUUUACACAUUUUCUAGCUGAAAAUGUCAUCGUUGGUAAUAAUACUAAAGGACUGGAAUGUUUGUCUGUAGAAUGAACACAGUUCUGACAGGAUUUAUCUGUUAAAAGUAAGGAGCUGCCAUAUUUGAUUUUGUAUUGUCCUUGAUAUCGGUAAGACAAGAGUUUUAGACAUUUUGUCAUAAUGUCUGGUCCUGUUCUGUCCGGCAGCAUUAUUUCACUGACUAUUUUCUUCUUCCCUUUCUAGUCACAGAUAGCUGGCAGGGAAAGCUUACUUCCCACAAAAGGCAGGCUAUCAUUAACUACCUUCUUCAAUUCAAGCUGAGGAACUCGAGGGGCACAGACAGCUGGUAGAGCAAACUCUUUUGGCUUUUUCAAUUGUUUUUCAACUUUUUAACUCUUUCUGGAUGUUUGUUGUCAUAUUAUUUUCUUGUACCCCCACAGGGGGCAAUCUGUCAUUUUCCAGCUUUCUGAAAUCAAGGUUAGGAAUUCUAGAAGCGGGUUUGGGUCUCUGGAGUUUAGACUCAGACCUAGAGGGUAUUCCUGUCAGAGCACUGAGCUCAGUCUCCAGCACUUUGACUUUACCUCUCUGGAUUCUCUCCUGAUUUACCAGCAUCUGAUGAAGCAGGAUAUCCUCUUGAGCUGUGUGCAGAGGUACACCACACCCAACACUUUUAUUUAGUGAGUUGAUCUUCUGUAAGUGGGUCACUUUCCUGGAAAUCGGCUCCUUGUGAUAGACCUUUGCUUCUGCCAGCUCCCUUUGUAGCUCUUCCACUUUUAGCUAUCUUUUCUUCUUGCUGUCCUCGAUGUUGAGUAAUAUUUUAUUGCACUCUCUGUCUUCCAUCAUCAGCUUUUUAAGAUUAGCAUCAUGUUUCUCUGAAUCAUUACUGUUUAAAGAAUAUAUGACCCAGUGUGUAUUACAUUGCAAAAAUAGUUUUCGGCCAAUUUGAUAUUUUAAAAUAUCAUUAAACAGGUACAGACUUGAGAUUUCAAAAGUACAGCAAUUAUGCAAAAAAUCGUCAUUGCCGGUAAUUUACUUGGUAGCUGCUAAUCACAAAAUAAUACAUGUACAUCUGUUAACUUACUCAUUCCUCCGAGUCAAGACAACUUUUUUAAAAACCUUUUUAGCACCAGUGGACUUCUCUGAAAUAAAUUAAAACAAUGAAGAGUCUGCAGUACUAGUAGCUAUGAUUUAAGGCACACUUAGUCACAGCAAUAUUAUUUUUAGUAGAAGUGGACUAUACAAAAUGAAAACAUGAAGACUUAUCUUGCUCAACUAAAUAGAAAUUAAGAGUGUCAAUUAAUGUGUUGUAUCUUACUAGAAAAAUUCUAACUGGAAAUUUUAACCUACUCAGAUGUAGUAACUUUGUUUAGUUGGUUAGUGUCAGAUAUCAUUGAUAUGAUUACUAAAGCAAAAUUUCAUCUCACGUGAGUCUGUCUGUUUUGUGGAGCUGGCUUCUGAAUGUCCACGAGAGAUCUCGUUUACAGAGACUGAGCUGGAAUAAGUGAUGGUCACAUCUGACUGCAUAUCCCCCAAGCCUGAAAUAACACCUCUGUAUAUUAUGAUUUACCAUUACUACAAACAAUGGACACAUGUUGUAAAUUUGAAUACCGUGUAACAUUACUUAUUUAGUAAAACCUGUCAGUGUGGUUAUUGAAUUUGAAUAUUAUAAUUAAUAUAAUACAAGUUGUCAAUGUGGUUGUCAAAUACUAGAAGUUAAAUGUUGUAACUACUACAGUCUUCCUGUUGUUUCAGUUUGGUGACAGGGAUUUUUGUUGUUCUGUUCCAUCACUCUGUGAAAAAGAAAGAACAGUCAGAAUCCUUUUUAUGCUGCAAUAUGCAUUGUUUAUAAAUAUACAUUAUUAAUAAAAUGUAGAAAAUUAA